GCCAAUUUGUAAUUAUUUAUUUCUUUCUACCUCUAUUAUUGUUUUUAUUUUUCUAUUGUUGUCGCUAGCACGUUAUUUGCCGGGCAUGAAACUCAUUCUCUCUUUGAGUUCUGGCAUAAAUAAAUAACUUAUGGAUGUUUUUCCUUUUAACAAAUCAAUAAAAGUUUUAUGUUAAAAGUUAAUUGUAUUAUUUUUAAUUCAAAUAAAGUUUAAUAAAAUGUAGUUGAAUACGCCUAUGAGUCUAACCUGAAGUUAGCCGUUCCUCUAAUUUGAUAAUUCUACACAGUUAUCUGUUAUAAAUCGACUCAGAUGAAUAUUCUAUUAUUUAGAUGUACAAUAUAAGGAAAAUACUAGAAAAUUAUGUCAAUUUUAUAUGAUAUAAUCAAGAAGUUCUAUUUCUGUGAAAGGAUUACAUAUGAUACAUUGAACAAAAUUUAAUUAUACUAUACAAUUCAUAUUAUUUCUACGGAAAAGGAAUCUUAACCUCACAAAUAAGGAAUUUUAUCCAUUAUCAACUGUUUGACAAAUUCAACCAUGGAGAGGUACACAAUUGAGCAGCGCGUUAAGAUUGUUGAAGCCUUUUACGAAAAUGGGCGUUCAAAUCAAAAUGCAUUUCGUGAUUUUUUUGGUCAUAGUCGGAAAGUCAGAUCUGAAUUGAUUGAGCCUGGUUUUUUAUCAGGUGAUUAUAAUCAUAAUAUACAAUACAAUGCCUCAGGUGCGUGGUCAAACAUGUCGUGACCACUGAAAUAAUAAAAUCAAUUUCUUAAGGCUGUUAUGUGAAUAAAAAUUAUGAUAGUCAGUCAACGUCCUACGGGGACACAGCUGGUCAAUCAGCUGUAAUGUACGUAGCGAAAUUUAUGAGGCUGCAAUUCGUUUAUUAACCGUGAAAUUUUUUUUAUAACUACUAUGGACUAUAUUACUACCAAAUAAAAUGGUCAGUCAACCAUUCCGUAGAGCAACAUCCAUCAGUCAGUGAAUGAGAAAUUAAAUUUUUUCGUUCUCUACGGAUAUUACACGCGGCAGCUCGUCUUUUAUUUAUAAUUAAGUUAAAAUAAAAUAACACCAUCAUAAUCAAUUAUAAUCUGAUAAAUAAAAUUCGUUCCAAUACAACAGUGAACUUGAUGAACGCAGGUAUAUAAAUAGGUAAGAACUCAUUGAUUUUUAAACAUUUGUAACUCAUAUAUUUAUUUCAUGAAGAAUUGAAAAUUGUACAAAGCUAUAAAUUAUCAUCAUAUAAUUCAUCAUCUGAAUCUUCCAUAUCAUUAAUCUCACUAUCGUGAUCUGACACGUCAAGCUCAGAUGUUUCAGACUGGCAAUCUAAAAAAUAAAUAAAUUCAUCAUAAAAACUUAUUUUCGUGAUUGUUUAAUUCAGAUAAAGAUAUUUUCAUACCUGUAUUUUCUUGUGAAUGUUGAAUAAUAACAUCCUGUACAAGUUCUGGUAAUUUUUCUACUUUGAACCAAUCAAACUCAUAUUUUUCAUCAACUAAUUUCCAGCCAUAGUUAGUAGGAGAUGGCUCCGUUGGAAUUUGACGGUUACGCUAAAUAUUUGCAAUAAAGCUUGCUCUUAAGAACUGCUGCAUACUCGACCCAUCUAUAUUCUUAAUUUAAUUUUAAACGAAUCAUUUGCGGUGCGAAAACAUUUAUCUUGGAAAAUAAAACGAAUUGCCUCGUCCAUUGAUUUUAUUUUUUUCAAGCCGUAUAAAUGGCAAACAAAUUCCUGAACCUUAUUAAACAUAUUAUUUUGGUUGCUUUCAUCUGCAAGUCCAAGGUCAGCGAAUGUUUUUUGGAAAUCUUUGCUUUGCUUCAUUAACUGCAGAGGCUUUUUUUACCUUUCUUGUAAAAAGCCGGGUUAAAAUCACAUCCAGUCGAAACGUGUAAUCCUGGAAGAACGUUGCAAACAGAAUUUCCCAAUUUUUCAUAAAUUUUACUGACAUUGAUCAUCCUUUGAUGAUUUCCGGUCCCAACUUAUAUCCAUAUUGUCGAUGAACUUGAUAAAUUUACCAUGUUUCCUAACAAAAUAAUGAGAAUGUCUGUGUGCGAGCACCUAAUUGAAAUGUUUACAUCUUGUACGAUUUCACAAACAUGGAAAAUUAUUUUCGUAUCAGCCUCCUCAUGUGCUUCACAGGUUAAAUUUUCAUUAAUAUUUUUACGUAUUUUUCCAUUUAAAACAGCGUAUUCGUAGCAAUCAUCAAAGUUUAAUUUGACGGUUUUAACGCCAAAAUAUGGUAGUAAUUCAUCAAUAUCCCAGUGAUUAAUGAUAAAUUUAAUGAAUGCUAUUCUAAAUUUCGAACCACGCAUUUCUUUUGAAAAAUCUGUGGUGCGUAUUUGUUCCGGUCCAGAGAUAUUAUAAUCGCCAUUAACACAAUUUCCUCGCAGAGCAUUUUUCCAUUUACAUUUACUUUUCUUUUUUUUAAUGAUUCUACAAAUAUUUUGUCUUUAUUAGUUAAAAUUUUUGCCGUAUCGAUAUUGCGAUCAACGGAUUCAAAUUUUGAUUCACAAUAUCAAAAUCAAAUUUGUCAGCUGCGAUAAACUCUUCUGUAUUUGGUUCACAUCUAAAUCAGCUAUGACAUCUUGAUUUAAUCUUAAGCCAGCUGUUUGCAAAACAUGAGAUAUUAUGGUGGAUCUUAUGCUAUGACUUUUACACCAGCGCUGCUGAGUUGAUAUAGAGUUCGUAAAAUGCAAUACUCCUGUUAAUCGGCUAGCUGCAUCGGCAAAUAAAUGUCGUACUUUAAAUGAUUAUGAUGGUGUUAUUUUAUUUUAACUUAAUUAUAAAUAAAAGACGAGCUACCGCGUGUAAUAUCCAUAGAGAACGAAAAAAUUUAAUUUCUUAUUCACUGACUGACGGGUGUUCUACGGAAUGGUUGACUGACCAUUUUAUUUGUUAAUAAUAUAGUCAAUAGUAGUUAUAAAAAAAAAUUCACGCUUAAUAAACGAAUUUCGCUCUUUUGCUCGAGAAAUUCAAUGAUCGCGUUAUCUCACGUUGUGGCGAUGUUAAUUUGAAAGAAAAAGUGUACGUCAAUAAGCCAAGAACAAUUCAAGAGCUAAAGGAUGAGAUAAUUCGAUACAUUCACGAUAUUGAACCUCAAUUAUGUCUCAGAGUCAUUGAAAAUAUGAACCAUCGGACAGAGUUAUACCACCAAAGCCGUGGCGAGCAUUUAGGCAAUAUUUUGUUUCACACAUAAUUGUCAUAGAUCCUUCCAUCAUUAUAAAAAAUAUUAAGAUAAUUAAUUAUCUGAGAAA